GGAAAGGUGGUUCAACAAUUAAUGAUUUCCAGUCACAGUCUGGUGCACGAAUCCAAUUGUCAAGGAAUCAUGAAUUUUUUCCUCGAACCACUGAUAGGACCAUUAUGGUAUCUGGAUCAAUUAAUGAAAUAUUGAAGGCCAUGGAACUCGUUCUUGCUAAGUUGUUGAGUGAGCUUCAUGCUGAAGAAGGAGAUGAUGUUGAACC